rnacentral:rRNA from 1 species
GAGGAAUAUUGGACAAUGGGCGGGAGCCUGAUCCAGCCAUGCCGCGUGCAGGAUGACGGCCCUAUGGGUUGUAAACUGCUUUUAUACGGGAAGAAAUGCGCCCACGUGUGGGCGUCUGACGGUACCGUAAGAA